UUACAUGCUCUUGUUUCGGGCCUG
rnacentral:siRNA from 1 species